rnacentral:rRNA from 2 species
GGCGCGCGAUACAGGGUGACAGCCCCGUACACAAAAGCGUAUGUGCUGUGAGCUCGAUGAGUAGGGCGGGACACGUGGUAUCCUGUCUGAAUAUGGGGGGACCAUCCUCCAAGGCUAAAUACUCCUGACUGACCGAUAGUGAACCAGUACCGUGAGGGAAAGGCGAAAAGAACCCCGGCGAGGGGAGUGAAAAAGAACCUGAAACCGUGUACGUACAAGCAGUGGGAGCCCCACCACUAAGCCAGUGGUGAACUCCACAUACGCAUCCUUUGCUGAGGAUACGGUUAACGGAGCGAAAGCGACGUUCAACCGCAAAAGAAGCAGAGGGGGCUUAGUGGUGGGGUGACUGCGUACCUUUUGUAUAAUGGGUCAGCGACUUAUAUUCUGUAGCAAGGUUAACCGAAUAGGGGAGCCGGAGGGAAACCGAGUCUUAACCGGGCGUUAAGUUGCAGGGUAUAGACCCGAAACCCGGUGAUCUAGCCAUGGGCAGGUUGAAGGUUGGGUAACACUAACUGGAGGACCGAACCGACUAAUGUUGAAAAAUUAGCGGAUGACCUGUGGCUGGGGGUGAAAGGCCAAUCAAACCGGGAGAUAGCUGGUUCUCCCCGAAAGCUAUUUAGGUAGCGCCUCGUGAAUUCAUCUCCGGGGGUAGAGCACUGUUUCGGCUAGGGGGCCAUCCCGGCUUACCAACCCGAUGCAAACUGCGAAUACCGGAGAAUGUUAUCACGGGAGACACACGGCGGGUGCUAACGUCCGUCGUGAAGAGGGAAACAACCCAGACCGCCAGCUAAGGUCCCAAAGUCAUGGUUAAGUGGGAAACGAUGUGGGAAGGCCCAGACAGCCAGGAUGUUGGCUUAGAAGCAGCCAUCAUUUAAAGAAAGCGUAAUAGCUCACUGGUCGAGUCGGCCUGCGCGGAAGAUGUAACGGGGCUAAACCAU